AGGCUAAAGCUUGUAGCAGUAGAGUUUGCCGAAGAGUCGAUCUUCAUUAUUCUUCUCUACCGAAAAAAUGCUUCUGAAAGCCCUCACCAUUUCCCCACCUUCCUUCCUCAAAACCUCUUUCUCCAUCCCCAAAUUCUCCUUCCCUAAUCCCUUCCAAUCGCCGCGGAGUUCCAUACCCAAACCCUUCGCUGCCGUCAGGGUGGGCGGCUGGCUGAACAAGCUCGGAUUCGGCGCGCGCUCCGCCGCGACGGAGUCGUCGUCGAUUGCGCAGGGGGUCGACGACGACUUGGCGGCGCCUGGGCAGGAGUUUGCGCAGUUUGGUGCGGGUUGCUUCUGGGGAGUCGAAUUGGCGUUCCAGAGAGUGUCGGGGGUUACCAGGACUGAGGUUGGGUACAGCCAGGGUUAUCUGCAUAAUCCGAGGUAUGAAGAUGUGUGCUCCGGCACCACCGGCCAUUCAGAGGUCGUUAGGGUUCAGUAUGACCCUAAGGAGUGCAGCUACGGGAAGCUUCUCGACGUGUUCUGGGCGAGACAUGAUCCGACGACUCCCAAUCGCCAGGGGAAUGAUGUAGGGACUCAAUAUCGAUCGGGAAUAUACUUCUACACGCCCGAGCAGGAAAAGGUAGCUCUUGAAUCCUGCGACAGGCAACAAAAGGUCUUGAGUAGAAAGAUUGUGACUGAGAUACUGCCUGCAAAGAAAUUUUACAGAGCUGAAGAGUAUCACCAGCAGUACCUUGCAAAGGGUGGUCGGUUUGGCUUCAAACAAUCGUCUGAAAAGGGUUGCAAUGAUCCAAUCCGGUGCUAUGGCUGAGAAUUUCUUGCUAUGGAGCCCACAAAGAAGUUGCCGAUAUUGAUGCAUGAACAUCCAAGGCUAUGGAGUCUGUAAAGGAGUUGCAGAAAUUGUUCUACAAACAACCAGUGUUGGAUGCCUCACAUUGGAUGCCUCACACGCAGACUUGUUGAAGUAAUAUGUACUGAUGGUUGAAUUGAGAUAACAAAUGGUCAAGCGCCGAUGAGCACAUUGAACUAUCCACGUGGCUCAGAGUCUUCACAGUCUAGGCAGUAUGACGCUAUUAUCAGAGGCACACUCUACCACUGAGUUAAUAGCAUGCCGUGCGAGCCCUUCAAUGGGGCCCAUUAUGCCAAAAGCAUUCAAUGUUGGAUACUUCAAACUUCUUCAAUUAGCAAGUAUUAAUGACUAAGAGGACCAUACCAAAGAUGAUUUCACUCCAAUGCGAGCAUAGAAGAUCAAGUCCAUGUACUCCUUUAACACAAAGCUUUUGCAUGGGUUUGUGGCCUUGGUUAACGGGAGUGAUAGCAACAAUAUACAUAGAGAGCCUUCAUUUACCGAACAAAUCCACUUAAUUGUUCAACAUAAAGCCCAUAGAGAAGCUGCGGAUAUUGAUGCAUAAACUUCUAAGGCUAUGGAGUCUGUAAAGGAGUUGUAGAAAUUGUUCGACAAACAACCAAUGUUGGAUGCCUCACACAGACUUGUUGAAGGUCAAGCGCCGAUGAAUACAUUGAACUAUCCACGUGGCUCAGAGUCUUCACAGUCUAGGCAGUAUGACACUGUUCUCAAAGGCACACUCUACAACUGAGUUAAUAGCAUGCCGUGCGAGCCAUUCAAUGGGGCUCAUUAUGCCAAAAUCAUUUAGUGUUGGAUACUUCAAACUUCUUCAAUUUGUAAGUAUGGAUGACUAAGGAGACCUUCCCAAAGAUGAUUUCACCCUAAUGCAAGCAUAGAAGAUCAAAUCCAUGUACUCCUUUAACAUAAAGCUUCUACAUGGAUUUGUGGCCUUGGUUAGCGGGAGUGACAGUAACAAUAUACACAGAGAGCCUUCAUUUCCAGAACAAAUCCGACUAAUUGUUCAACAUAAAGUUAUUGCAUGGAUCAGACUUGGUGGCCUUGGUUAGAGGAGUGAUAGUUUCAUUUCCCAUUUCAAAAGUGUUUGGAUUUCCAAAUGUGAAACUAGUCAUGUUUUUCACUCAAAUAUUUUGAGGGGACUUUUUUAUUCACAAAAAAAUGCCAAAUUAGGGUAAAAAAAUACUAGGUGGGCCGGCAGUGAGAUGGAAAAGGUAAAGUUUGAUUUGAUAACCCAAUUCAAAGGAAAUAAUUGUGUGUUUGUUUGGAGGAUUGAAUUUUAAAUCCAUUAUUCAUCCUACUUUUUUUUUUCCCCAAUAACAUCAAAUCAAACAUCUGUUUUUUAUUUUUUAUAUUAAACAAAAAUCAAUUUUACAUUCAAAACAUCACAUCAACACCUAUUUAUAUAUCACAUCAUACAACUAUUCAAAUUCAAAAUUUUUACUAUUUAAAUCCCAAUUCAAAAUCUAAACCCCCAAACAAACACACCCUAAAUGUCUGGGGAGAAAGCCAAGUAAAGUUAUUGUGUUGCUCUUUUGCAGCGUGGCACAUGUGAACUGCCAUACCGCUAUUGCGAAAAAAUGGCGAGAAUGAUGCAUUUGUAUAUAAUUAAAUAUAUUAUAUUUUAUAAGUAUUAAAUACAAAAUACCUAGACAAACAAAAAUAAAAAUAAACCAUUAUUCAAUAAAUAAUACAUAAUAAUGCAAUACACUAUUACUACGAUACUAGAAAUAACAAAAAUAGCACUAUUAGAGUGUAUUUUUAGUGGAGUCUUGAGUCUAAAACGCUAAAGAACAUUAAGAUUAAAAUUUCAGCGGGAUGAAGUGGUGAAAUGAAGUUGCAAACAUGGAGAGAGCAAUAGGGAGAGAAAGGAAGGCUAGUUAGGGUUCAAUCGGGCUUAAGAGUUGAGGUGGGUGUGGUUUGGGGGGCUUGGGCUAACUUGGGCUGGAGACUCGCAAUGUUUUGGGAAUUUGGAUAGCACCAUAGCAUCGUUGAGGCAUCGCCAACGCAUCUUCAACCUACUUUGUUUGUGUUCAAAACACACAAUUGGAAUUCGGAAUGGAAAUGAUUGGGAUGUACAAGAAGUUUGUGUUCAAAGCAACUCACCUAUUCUAAACAAUUAACACAAAGGGCCUUCAUUGGGCAUUCGUUAACAAUACAUAUAAUUUCUUGCUCUGGAGCAUGUAAAGGAGUUUUUUCUUUUAAGAUCCGACGUGCUAAACUGUUAUGGCUUGUGCGAACCUCUAACGGAGUUGUGGAAACAAAUGCAUAAACAUCCUAGACUGAGUGCCUAUAAAGGAGUUGUAGACGCCUCACACGCAGGCUUGUCUCCUCUCUACUCGAGGAACAAUAUACAAACAUAUGGUGUUGGAUACACCAUGCGCAAACAUGUUGAGAUAGUAAGUAUUGAUAACAAAAAUAAAUUAACAAAUUGAUAUUUGCGUAACUUCUACUUAAGAAAAACAUACAAACAUUAGAUAUUGAAGACAUCACGCCCAUAAUUGUUGAAGUAGUAGGUAUUGAUGACCAAACUAAAUUAGCAAAUGCGUCAAUCUACUAACUACUUUCUACUUAAGAAUAAUAUAAACACCUUAAAGAAGAGAGAUGCAUAUUCAUUGAGAUUUAUUUAUCUAGGAAACAAAAGUACUCAAGAUUUGCAAAGAUAUUGCAAAUAAAUAAACAACACAAGCUCCCAUAUCAUAAAAUAGUAGAAAAAAAACAUAGGAGUUAAGCCACAAGAGAAGAUGAAACAAAGCCUCUUCUAGUUAAACUUGUUCAACAAAGUCUAAGAAAUUAAAGCAUUCAAUCCAACAAAGAAAAAGUAGAAAGCAAAUCAUACAAGACUAGCAAAUGCAUGAGAAUACGUCCUCCCGGUGCGUCCGCGAGAGCCACAAUGGCAUACCUUCAUUUUAACAUUCCCAGUCCCAUCUUAUAGUUGUAGUCAUAGAACAAUUCUUGGGAAGGAGGGAUGUUUUUUGUUGCAAAAAACAUUAUGUGAGGAACCUUUUUGUCAUUAUGAUCAUAUAGAACAUUU